rnacentral:rRNA from 1 species
UACAGAGGGUGCAAGCGUUGUUCGGAAUUAUUGGGCGUAAAGCGCGUGUAGGCGGCUAUGUAAGUUGGGUGUGAAAGCCCUCGGCUCAACCAAGGAAGUGCAUCCGAAACUGCUGAGCUUGAGUACUUAAGAGGAUCGCGGAGUUCCCGGUGUAGAGGUGAAAUUCGUAGAUAUUGGGAAGAACACCGGUGGCGAAGGCGGCUCACUGGCUCGUUACUGACGCUCAGGCGCGACAGCGUGGGGAUCAAACAGG